rnacentral:rRNA from 1 species
UACGAAGGGUGCUAGCGUUGUUCGGAAUUACUGGGCGUAAAGCGUGCGUAGGCGGUUUAGCAAGUCGAUUGUGAAAGCCCAGGGCUCAACCCUGGAAUUGCAACCGAAACUACUUUACUAGAGUGUAGUGGGGGAUAGUAGAAUUCCUAGUGUAGGGGUGAAAUCCGUAGAUAUUAGGAGGAAUACCAGUGGCGAAGGCGACUAUCUACACUAUUACUGACGCUGAGGCACGAAAGCGUGGGGAGCAAACAGG